UUUGAAAAUUAUGAUUUUUCCUUCAAUUUUACUAGUAAAAGAUAAUUGUUUCAAAUCAAAUAUGAAUGUUAAGAAGUUAAUACAAGAUACCCCAUAAUUAUCCCAGAACCCAGUGUAACAAGUGCAUGAGCGUUUACUAGAGAAUGCAAUAAAAUACAGUAACUGUCCGAAAUACAAGUGGACAAAAAUGAACAAUACAGUAAAAUACUCUGAAGGGAAUUCUAUUGGCUGCAGGUCGUCUCGAUAAAUACAGCUCACCCAAGUCUCCAUAUCAACCAUGAUGUUAUGCCACUAAGCCACUAGCCACACUCGAACCUAUGCAACAAAAAUGCACAGCAAGUGUAGUAUGAGUACGAAAACAAUGUGUACCCAAUGAGUAUCUCGUCUAAUCUCGAAGAAGUAAAGACAAGAGGUCGACUUCGACACUUACUAAUGGUCCAAUAAUGAUACAUCCAUAAUAUAAUAAAUCGAGGAUUUUCAUAACAGGAUUGUGAUUCAAUAGAAUGAAGCAAGUAAACAAUUCUUUCUUUUAUAGGAAAUUCCUAAAUUCCUUUUCAUCAUUUAUACAUUUAUUCUCAAGUCAGGGAGAGCAAAUAUCAACAUCUAUAAAUCCCAAGGCAAACAAUACAAGCAUGCACAAAUCAUGCCGAGGACGUACGGCCCGAUCCAACAAUACUUAAAUUGUGCACUGCCAGAGGGUCGAAUGGCGCGAACCAUGGAUGCAUCUAUUUAAUUUACCGAGGCGUUCGACCCACUUCGAAAUUAAACACACACAGACAGUCAAUCAAGAAGUCAACAGGGAACAAUUAUCCAAAGAAACGCCAAUUCUUUUUUAAAGAUUUUUGAAAAUGAAGUUUAAAUCUUUUUAGAAAUUCAUUUACUAAUCCAAUAUGAUUUAAUCAAUUCAAACGGUCAUCAAGGUUACAGGUAUUCCAAGUAUAGCAUGCUUUUGGGUCCUAGACUACCCGGACUUACACAUAAUAGUAGCUACGCACGGACUCUCAUCACCUCGUGCGUACGUAGCCCCCACAAAUAGGAGCACAUAACCAAUUAAUGCACCUAUGGGGAUAAUUCCCUCUUACAAGGUUAGAAAGGAGACUCACCUCGCUCCAAAGAUCCAUAACCGGCAUUCCACGCUCUUCCGAAGACUCGAAUCGAUGCACAAUGCUCCAAAACUAGCCAAUAAUUAUGCAAAUCCAUUAAUAUGCGUUCAAUUACUCAUUACAAUCCGAUUUAUAACAAUUCCUAACCCCGAUCGAAAAGUUGACAAAAUUGCCCUCAGGUCCACGUGUCCGGAUUCCUAAAUUUUUCGAAGAUAAAGAUACCCAUGAACUCACAAACUCAACUAUAUGAUUUUAUCUUAUUUUCAUAUCCUAAAUCAUGGUCAAAAUCCAAGAAUAUCAAUUUUCUAGGUUUUCCCUCAAACCCCAAGUUUCUACAAAUUUGCAUGCUCAAAUCCGUAACAAAAUCAUGUAUUUAACGUCUAAUAAGUAGGAACAACUUACCUUGACAUAGAUGAAGAAAGUAUCUCUUCUGAAAGCUCCAAAAUCAUCCAACCCGAAGUGAAAAUGGGUGGAAAUGAACCAAAAGCGAUUUUUAAAGAGAAUUCACUGCCUCCAGUCCUUUCGCACAUGCGGUCUCUUGACCGCUUCUGCGGUUCCGCAGGUGCGGCCCCACUACUGCAUCUGCGGUCCUUCCCAGACCCCCUAUUUCCGCUUCUGCGCUCCUUUCGCAGGUGCGGUCCCACUUCUGCGGUGACUUGACCGCAUCUGCGGUCCCAGCCUUCCCCCUUCUCCACCGCAUCUGCACACCUUUGGCCGCUUCUACGGCUCCGAACUUGCGUCCAAACCUUCGCAGGUGCGGUUAUACCAGAUAUCAGCUGUUUCAGCUAUUCUUCCAAAUUCUAAUUCGAUCCGUUAACAAUCCGGAAUCCACUCGAGGCCCCCGGGACCCCGUCUAAUCAUACCAACCAGUUCCAUAACACAUUACGGACUUGCUCGAGGUCUCAAAUCACAUCAAACAUCGCUAAAAUCAUGAAUCAAAUUCCAAUCCAAGCUUAAUGAACUUUAGAACUUCAAACUUCUACAUUUGAUGCCGAAUCCUAUCAAAUCACAUCCGAUUGACCUCAAAUUUUGCACACAAGUCAUAUUCGACAUUACGGACCUGCUCCAACUUCCGAAAUUGAAUUCUGACCCCGAUAUCAAAAAGUUCACUUCCGGUCAAACUUCUCAAAAACCUUCAAAUUUCUAUUUUUAGCCAAAUGACUCCAAAAUGACCUACGAACCUCCGAAUUCACUUCUGAUCGCGCUUCCUAAACCAUAAUCACCAUACGGAGUUGUUCCCAGACUCGGGAUCCCAAACAGACAUUGAUAACACUGAAACGCACUUCAACCCAAACUUAAGAAAUUUUUCCAAAAAUGCCAACUUCCAUAAUAGGUGCCGAAACGCUCUCGGAUCUUCUAAAACCCAAUUCGGACAUAUGCCCAAGUCCGAAAUCAUUAUACGAACCUACUGGUACCUUUGAAUCCCGAAUCCAAGGUCGUUUACUCAAAAAUUCAAUCUUAGUCAAUUCUUCCAACUUAAAGCUUCCAAAAUGAGAAUUCUUUUUCCAAAUCAACUCCGAACUUCCCGGAAUUCAGUUCUGACCAUGCGUACAAGUCAUAAUACCUGAAGUGAAGCUGCUCAUGGCCUCAAACUACUGAAUGGCGCGCUAGAUCUCAAAAUGACCGGUCGGGUCGUUACACAACAUAUCUAAUGAUUUUCUAUUCUCGAUUACAAGAACCACAUAUGGCAGAGAAGAAUACAAUCAACUUAAAAUUUUCAAGCAUUUAGAGAAAAGGUAGUUUCCUAUUGCCCGCAAAAGUUGAAUACGACCUAAAAACGAAGUUCAUAUGACUUAGAGUCGACUCAUUAAUUGGUCUCCCUAUUCUUUUUUUCGACUAAAAAUAUUCACUUACUAUUUCAGCGAUUGAGUUUAGAAUAAUGUAUGUAUACUUCUUUCUCCUCUAUACAAAAUCAUUAAAAUGUAAAAUAAAACUUGGCAUGUGUACUGCUAUAACUUGAACUUAGUGGGAUCACUUCCGUGAGUAAAAUACUUACCUAGCUCAUCUUAUGAAUACCACUUCUCUCUUGAUAGUUUUUCUUAUAUCAUCUCAAUUAUUGAAGUUAUCAUCCUCUGAAACCUUCUCUACCUUACCUUAUAAUAAGUACCACAUCUCUCUUUUGAUAGUUUUCCUUCUCAAUUACUGAAGCUAUAACCUUUUCAAGUUGUAAUUUGAGUCCUCUAGAUAUAUUUUUAUUGUUACUUACAUUUACUUUUUUUUCUUGACACGCAUAACAUCCGUAAUAUUUGUAAAUGCUUACAAAAUGUCUUUCCUUCUUUUACCUUUAUAUUUAUCAUUAUUUUUUUGUUUAUUCAUAGCUUAUAUUUUUGUUGUUUGUGGAUUAGUACACCAUUUUGUCUUAUUUCUUUCCCAUGUUUUGUAGCUACAUUUGCAGGUACAACUUAUCUUUCCUCCCUCCCUCCUUUUUUCCUCCCUAGAAAUACUAGCACAUAUCCAUAUUAUUGUUCAGUUCUUCUGGUGGGGUUUUAUGUCUGUACUUUGUGCCAGUUUUAUGCCUUACAGAAUAAGAUCAUAUACACUUCUAAAGGCAUUUACUUCCAAUAUCCUUGACACAUAAAAUUAACUAAUGUAUGUAUACUAGAUACAAAGGUUAAUGUUCUACACUUCUACUUGUUUAUGAAAUUAUUUUUUAUUUUUGGUUAAUAAUCAGUCCAUGUAUAGGGUCUCGAGAAAUAAGGAAGAAAUCAAUGCUAGCUUGGAAGUGGUAUUGAGAUUGAUCCAUGAGCACAUUCAGAUGAUAUCCCAAAAUUUAUGAUCGGCCAAAUCAAGAUUUUUGACCAACUUUCGUAAAGAAGCUUAUAAGACAUUGUUUUAGAACUUGUGUUUAUGUAGUCGAAACUAAGGGACUCAGUCGGCAGGCUACGUGAAAGGUCAAGCUCCUAAGUUCUGAAGGAAAAGAAUAGUAAUGUAAAUUAGUAGGAUAGGUAUUAGACAUAUGAUAUGUGCACCAAAUGUUUUGACUUUACAACUUGAUAAUUGAAGGGGGAAUCAUUUAUUUUGUUAAAAGGCUGAAUGACGAUAGCCAAGAUGCAAGUGUUGUCUGUGGUAUUUGCAAUAGAUGCUACAUCAGAUGGUUUUUAAUGAUAAUUACAACUCUACAGAAUUUGAGAACAAUAAACCUAGAAUAUUCCAUAUUUGGGUAAUGAAUAUUCGGAUUAGUCCUUUCAUGUUGGGUAAUGAAAUAUUGGUUACUUCCUAUGACUUCUUUGACCAUUCCAGUUGGAUUCCCAAAUGAAUUCUCCAAAGCAUCAUUAGAGAAUGAUAGUUGGUUUAAAUCUACAAUGUUGGGCUCGUGCUCUGCACGGGCAAUCCUCAUCUAGGUCUUAAUAGGACGGAGUAGGGGUCAAAUGUUGGUUGCUAUUAGCCAAGAUUCCAUAAACUAUUUUUACCCAAUAGUAUGGGCUUUGGUGGACAAAAAAAAAUACCAGGACAUGGACCUGGCUUAUGAAUAUGUUGAAGAGGUCUUUGGACCUUAAAGUUGGUGUUGGAAUGACAUUUAUUUCAGAUAUGCAUAAGGUGAGUCAUAUUUUAAUAUUUUGUUUUUAUUUUUGGAUUAUUAAUUCUGAUUUCAAAUUUUCUUAUUUUUCUUUUAUGGCGGGACUGUAAGAUGCAGUGAUGAGUGUACUGCCAGAAGCAUAUUACAGAUUCUGUGUUGGACAUACUGAGGCAAAUUGGUGUAAAAAUAGAGGAAUAGUGAAAUAAAAUAUUGAUGUGAUGGUAUUUUUAUAGCACUUAUAAAGAGGAAUUUGAAGGCCAGAUGAUAAAAUUGGGAGAUUAAGCCGAAGAUGCUGCAAAGGAUAUAAUGCAUUAUCCACCAAAAGGUUGGUGUAGAACUUUCUUUUAUACAUAAUGUAAGAAAAUAAUGGUGGAUAAUAACUUUACUGAAUCAUUAAAUGCAUGGAUUCUGGAGACUAGAAGCAAGCCUAUCAUCAAGAUGCUUGAAGAAAUAAGGAUCAAGGUAAUGUAAAUGUUGGCUAACAAUGAAGGUAAACUGAGACUUAAAAUGCUGACUACAGUCCACGAGAUAUGAAACUAUAUAGUGAUUCCAGGCAAAUUGCCUCACAUUGCAAGGUACACUUUAAUGGUAAUCAUAUGGAUAUGAGGUUUUAGAAGGUAAAAUAGACACACUAUCCGGAGAAGAUGAGAUGCACAUGUAGGAUAUGAGACUUGGUGAAAUCCCAUGUCCCCACACUAUCAAAGCCCUGAUGCACUGGAAGGUGGAUCCUAUAACUGAAAUAAGUUGGUAGUAUACUAAAGAGGCUUAUAUGAUAAUAUAUAAGCAAAAGAUGCUAUUGAGGGGUCAAAAAUUCUAAAAAUUUGAUCCUUCUUAAGACACAGAGCCACCUGAUAUUGUGAAAAUUAUUAGCUGACCAAAAGUUAAGAGAAAUAGACAACCAGAUAAGGUAAGAAAAAGAAAAGGAGAAUGAAAUCAAUCAAGGAAGGGGACUCAAAUUUAUUGCAGCAAAUGUGGUGAGCCUAACUACAAUGCAAGGGAAUGUUUCAAGGUAUAAAUAACAGUAUUCCGCAUUUAUUUAAUUACAUUGGUAUAACUAACAUACAUUAUUUUGUGGUAGGAUUCUAGAGCUGGAAGCAAUGCACAAGCUAGGAAAAGGAAAGGGAUAACCUGCAGUAAAACUGAAGAUGAAUUCCAAGCAAAGACGACUGAAGAAGAGACCCUGACAGAUCGAUCUUACCAAAGAUCUCCAAGCUCUAGCACAUGCAACACUUUAGUCUAUUGGUUAUGGUCCUCAAAUAGGAAGCCAUUAAGGUCACAUUUUAUUUUUGAGACAAAAAUAAGACUGGAAAGCAAGCAAAAAUAGCAAAAUCCAAUUGAGAAAAGAAGGAUUCAGUUCAGGGGAAAUCACACACGAAGCUCAACGCUAAAUUGCCUUUCUCACCAAACAAGGCAACUUGAAUGGGGAAGACAGCCAUGACAUCCAAUCAAUUGCAAGAAGAAGUCAGAAGAAAAAAAAAAAAAAA
rnacentral:lncRNA from 1 species